CGGGAGAGUGUUUUAUAAGUUGAAAAACACUAGAAAAAUAAUAUUAGCUAUUAUAAUUGGUCCACUCAACUUCCUCAGAUGGAGUUCGCCCCAAGCAAAACAAAUUUCCCUCAACUCCACCCCAUAAACUGCAAGUCCCCAUAACUGCCCCUCCUCUUCUCCUCCUUUCCAGGCUCACCCAAACUUGGCUUCCUCUGCCUGUCCCAGGCACAGGCCUGGCAGGAAGUGACCAGCCUCCCAUUAGCUCUUGCCACAGGUCUGGGAGAGUUCACAGGCUGCUGAGCUGAGAUAAGAGGACCGGCAGGAACUGAGGGUUUCCUCACCCUAGAAAAGCACCUCCUCCUACUACUCCUUUGCCCUCCAGACUCAAGGCAGGAAGAGAAACCUGGGGAAGGGGCCUCAGAGGAGAGGCCUCCAUCAUGUGUUCAUUCUGACUGGUCAGUGGGUGCCACACUGUUUGAAUGUCACCCUUGCCGCAAAGGAAGAGCCUCUUUGCAUGGCUCUCCCCACCUCCUCCACCUGCUCCAAAUGUCUCCCACACCAGGUCCCAGGGGACCUUGCAUUUGCUUCCAGGGUUUGGGGGAAGUGAAAGGGGUAUUUGGAGGGAGGGGGUUGAGGGGACCAGGUGACACUGGCACACAUUUCUUGUGUGGUGGACAUCCCCAAAAUGUCAUUUGGCUCUUUGCUUGUUCCAACCCAUAUUUCAUUUCCAGGGUACCUGCUCUGUACCACUUAGCUGGAUACCACAAUGGAGAAAUAUCUUCCCUUCGUUCAGAAGGCACCUUCAGAACAGGGGCAUGUCCAGGCGGACACACAGUCCAGCGUAGGGAGAAGUAUCUCAGAGAUCUUUCCCAAAGGAGGGCACAGAAGGUGUGAAUUGUGAAACAGUGUGAUGGUAUAGGAUGCAUUUGGAGAACUGCAAGAAGUUCUAUGAGGCCAGGAGAAAACAAGGAUGAGGCAGUGGCAAGAAAUUAGUCUGGUGAGGUGGGCAGGGGCUAACUCACAAAAGGUAUUGGGUACUAAUCUAAGGAGGUGGAACCUUACCCUGAAAGCUGUGGGUAGGAAGAGAACAAGAAAUGUUGCCAAGGACACCACAGGAUUUGGGGGCCAGUGGUCAGUGGUCAGAUGAGAACUGACAAGUGACCUUUGGACUUGUCAAUGUGGUAGUCACUGGCCAUUGACAGGAAGCAUUGGAGGCUGAGUGGAGGGGAGGCAUGAACCCAUAGUGACCCCAUGGUGUAUAUGGUUUUCUCUGGGCAGGCUCAGCUCUCACAUAGGAGGGGAUAAAAAUGGAUGGAUUAUCCCAGCACUUUGGGAGGCCGAGGCGGGCGGAUCAUGAGGUCAAGAGAUCGAGACCAUCCUGAACCAACAUGGUGAAAGCCCAUCUCUACUAAAAAUACGAAAAUUAGCUGGGUGUGGUGGCAUGUGCCUGUAAUCCCAGCUACUCGCGAGGCUGAGGUAGGAGAACUGCUUGAACCCGGGAGGUGGAGGUUGCAGUGAGCCAAGAUCGUGCCACUGCCCUCCAGCCUGGUGACAGAGUGCAGAGUGAGACGUCUCAAAAAAAAAAAAAAAAAGAUGGAUUAAUUCGGGUCUGGCAUUCUGAGGGAGACUACACUGGAAGGACAUGGGGACAAGAAAGAUGGAGUAAUUAAUGGUGAAUGAGUGAUGAAGUCAUGGGCAUGGGUCUUGAUGUGGCACUGGCUGAUAGAGUUUGGUGGCCAGAGUGGGAUAACCUUUUUUUGGAGACAGAGUCUCACUCUGGCUUCCAGGCUGGAGUGCAGUGGUGCGAUCUUGGCUCACUGCAACCUCCGCCUCCUGGGUUCAAGCAAUUCUCAUGUCUCAGCCUCCCGAGUAGCUGAGAUUAUAGGCAUGCACCACCACACCCUGCUAAUUUUUUCGUAUUUUUAGUAGAGAUGGGAUUUUGCCAUGUUGGCCAAGCUGGUCUCAAACUCCUAAGCUCAAGUGAUCCACCUGCGUUGGCCUCCCAAAAUGCUGGGAUUACAGGUGUGAGCCACCACGCCCAGCCAGGAUAACCAUUUUAAAAAAGAUUUUCAUGUCAAUAGAAACAGAGCAGCUAGCUAUUUACAGCAUGGCCAGUGAUCUGUAUUUUCCACUUAGAGUUCCAAAUUAGAAUACUGGUGAAAUCCCUUCUCAUUGUGUCUAUUUCUAAAUCUGUGAAACAGAGGAUUGGACUAGAUGAUCCCUAAAAUCCUUCCUGCUCUAUCAUGCAAGGAUUCACUGCUAUUGUUUUAUCUGUAUCCUCUUCACACCUACCUAAGCAUAAUGACCAGCCAUCUGCCCUCAAUAGAUGUUUGUGUGGAGUACCUGAUGGUCUCUCUCACAAAAGACACCUGUCAGCAUCUAGGCCCAUCACCACUGCCUGUUUAUUGAGUGAUGGUGAUGUCAUGAGGAAGUCCCUCCCUCUGCCUCCCUUGCAACCCUUCCUGUGAGGUGUGUAGGGACCAGGUGCAAAUCCAGCCCUCAUUCGCCCCUCCCCACCUUCAGUUUCUCCUUGCCCUGGUCCAUCUUACAGUCUGAAAGGACCAAGAGAGAACUGCCAAGUGGGCAGGUUCUGGCACACCAGACCCCCAUGCUGAACUGCACUUCUAUUACCUUGGAUAUGUUACUUUACUUCCACAUUUUCUUCUAAACGUU
rnacentral:lncRNA from 10 species